AACGGGUGAGUAAUGCGUGACCAACCUGCCCCAUGCUCCAGAAUAGCUCUUGGAAACGGGUGGUAAUGCUGGAUGCUCCAACUUGACGCAUGUCUUGUUGGGAAGUGUUUAGUGGCAUGGGAUGGGGUCGCGUCCUAUCAGCUUGUAGGCGGGGUAAUGGCCCACCUAGGCUUCGACGGGUAGCCGGCCUGAGAGGGCGGACGGCCACAUUGGGACUGAGAUACGGCCCAGACUCCUACGGGAGGCAGCAGC
rnacentral:rRNA from 1 species